CUUAGAGUUUGAUCCUGGCUCAGAACGAACGCUGGCGGCGUGCUUAACACAUGCAAGUCGAACGUGAUCCGGAGCUUGCUCCGGUGAAAGUGGCGCACGGGUGAGUAACGCGUGGAUAACCUGCCCUGGUAUCUGGGAUAACAUCUCGAAAGGGGUGCUAAUACCGGAUAAGCCUACGGAUUCCUCGGAGUCUGCAGGAAAAGGUGGCCUCUAUUUAUAAGCUACCGUAUCAUGAUGGGUCCGCGUACCAUUAGCUAGUUGGUGGGGUAAAGGCUCACCAAGGCAACGACGGGUAGGGGACCUGAGAGGGUGACCCCCCACACUGGGACUGAGACACGGCCCAGACUCCUACGGGAGGCAGCAGUGAGGAAUAUUGCGCAAUGGACGAAAGUCAGACGCA
rnacentral:rRNA from 1 species